rnacentral:misc_RNA from 1 species
AAAACACACACACACACACUUGACCAGAUUAAAUUAGGGGUUUUCCCUUCUUUUCUCCAAGAUCUGAUAUUAAGCCAGAUAGAUUAUAACAAUUUCACCGAAUUGCGUUCGAAAGUUUUGAAAUUUCAGAUUUUGAUCUCAGAUCUGCUUUUAAGACAUUCAGAUCGGACCUAACACUUAAUUUCUUAAAGGUCUAGGGGUUUUUUUUUUUUUCUC